rnacentral:tRNA from 1 species
GGUGUUGUGGCUCAGCGGUAGAGCGCUCACCUAGCACCGGUGGGACCCAGGUUUGAUCCUCAACACCA